GCCAGCAUGAUGACUUUCAAGGGAACACGGGUUUGAGCCCUGGUCUGGGAAGAUCCCUACUUGCCGUGGAGCAACUAACGAGCAACUAAGCCUGCGUGUGGCAACCUCAGAAGCCUGAGCGCUGAAACAAGAGAAGCAGGCGCAAUAAGAACCCCGCGCUCCGCAACGAAGACCCAAUGCAGCCAAAAAGAAAAAAAAACAGAAGAAAAACCUUUGGGGCAUCCAUGAGCCUGAAGUAGGACAAAGAAACCUCGUGAGAUAAAUGGUACAUGAGAGGGUCUCAAAUCGUAUACACAGGAGAGAGAAGCACAGAACUUACGGAGCUUUCUUUGGAAUUUCUCUGUGAAAGGACAAGAAAUGAUUCAGUACCGUCCACAAGAGACGAGCCAUGUUUACGUGGAAAGGACCUCGGGGAGACCCCUUCCUGCAUCAUGUGUGCAGUGAGUCCUGUGAGCUGUCCUAGAACUAGGAAAGCUAGGGCACGGUCAGUGUCACAGGGUGAGGGAAAUAACGAGUAGGGUUGCUGGUUUUGAGGGAGGAAGGACUGAAUUAAAAACCUCACCUUCAAAUCCCCUUAAUCCUCUUCAUCCUUGUCCUCUCCCUUCCCCUCUGUCCAAUCCCUUUUCCACAGUCUUCUUUGGACCUCACUGCCCCGGUCUUCUGAUUGCUUUACCUUUGGUCCAGCGUUCUCGCUCUUUCUCCUGGCGAAGCUUCCAGAUGAAACCAAGAGCAGCCAGCAGAAGUCCCAGAAGAAGCAAGAGUGAAGUCUGAGCUGCUGCCCAAGGAAAGUCCUUCAGCAAGAGGGUGCCUGAGCCAGAAGUGCUGGGCGUUAUUCCUGCAGAGAAAAGCAGGAAACGGCCAAGGACUGUGGGUACUGGAGCACACAGAGGCUGUCUCCGGACUCUCCGAGAUUCCUGGGCCAGCCCAGUGGCAGAGGGGCCUGGCUGGGAGAGCGACUCCAGCUUUGCCCCAUUCUCUCCCACAGGAUGGUUGGGAAACCAAGAUACCUUGAGAGUCAUCAUGGAAAACAACAACAACAAAUAAACAUAAAGGCUCUGGGACCCAGUGUUAAAUCAAGGAGGCUCAAAUCACUCCUGAAAUAUGGAACUGAAACUGGGAUCCCGAGGAAGGGAUGGAAAUUGUUCCCUUUUCCUCAGAUCAUGAGAAGAGGAGCCUUCCACUGAGAAUCACCCCGAAUGUGGGAGCCCCUCAAGUUACUUGCAAUAGUUGAGAGAAGUAUAUUUUUGGUAGGGAAGUGGAUGCUGCUGGGAAUCAGAAGCCCUGGGUACUAGUCCCACCCCCACUGCUUAUUCCGCUUGUGGUUUCAGCCAAGCCACCCAGUGUCCCUCUGUCUUGAUUUCCUAUAAAGUGGAGAGUUCAAUAAUAUUACCUGUGCUAUCAACACCACCAGCUCAAUAAGAAAAUUGUGAGAAGAGAACUUGGCUAUCUAUAUGAACUUUUAUGCAUGUGUUUCUUUUCAAUCUCCCUUAGCACCUAGCCCAUGCAAUUCAUUUAGUUAGCAUCCAAUAAACACCACUGAGUUGAAAAAGAAAAGUGAGAGUGUAAACCCUUUAUUUCUCUAUCA